ensembl:lncRNA
CAGGUUCAGGGUAGCGUUUUGAACACAUGCUUUGCGUUGUGCCGGCGAAAUGCACAUUUCUUGUCGCAUUGUGCCGGCGAAAUGCACACUUCUUGGACCCCUGCAUAACUGCUUGCAGUUCUAGUUCUUUUUAUUAUUAUUCCCAGCUAGAAGUGGUACCACACCCCAAACCGUAAAUGGUGCCGACACGCCAAUUGCAUGACUAGAUCCAGGUCUGUGAUGUGUACGCAGACGACAAAAUCCAGACACGCCGAACACUAGGUGGCGCUAUACCAAGGAAUACGCGUUUGGGGCUAUAACUCCCACAC